rnacentral:rRNA from 1 species
UACGUAUGGAGCAAGCGUUAUCCGGAUUUACUGGGUGUAAAGGGAGCGCAGGCGGUCUGGCAAGUCUGAUGUGAAAGGCCGGGGCUCAACCCCGGGACUGCAUUGGAAACUGUCAGACUGGAGUGUCGGAGAGGUAAGCGGAAUUCCUAGUGUAGCGGUGAAAUGCGUAGAUAUUAGGAGGAACACCAGUGGUGAAGGCGGCUUACUGGACGAUGACUGACGCUGAGGCUCGAAAGCGUGGGGAGCAAACAGG